rnacentral:rRNA from 1 species
AACGAACGCUGGUGGCAGGCUUAACACAUGCAAGUCGAACGCCCCUUACGGGGAGUGGCAGACGGGUGAGUAACGCGUGGGAACGUACCCUUUACUACGGAAUAACUCAGGGAAACUUGUGCUAAUACCGUAUGUGCCCUUUGGGGGAAGGAUUUAUCGGUAAAGGAUCGGCCCGCGUUGGAUUAGCUAGUUGGGGGGGUACAGGCCUACCAAGGCGACGAUCCAUAGCUGGUCUGAGAGGAUGAUCAGCCACAUUGGGACUGAGACACGGCCCAAGCUCCUGCGGGAGGCAGCAGUGGGGAAUAUUGGACAAUGGGAGCAAGCCUGAUCCAGCCAUGCCGCGUGAGUGAUGAAGGCCCUAGGGUUGUAAAGCUCUUUCACCGGUGAAGAUAAUGACGGUAACCGGAGAAGAAGCCCCGGCUAACUUCGUGCCAGCCGCCGCGGUAAUAC